AUUGAACGCUGGCGGCAGGCCUAACACAUGCAAGUCGAACGAGUGGCGGACGGGUGAGUAAUGUCUGGUAAACUGCCCGAUGGAGGGGGAUAACUACUGGAAACGGUAGCUAAUCCCGCAUACCAUCGGAUGUGCCCAGAUGGGGUUAGCUAGUAGGUGGGGUAACGGCUACCCUAGGCGACGAUCCCUAGCUGGUCGGAGAGGAUGACCAGCCACACUGGAACUGAGACACGGUCCAGACGCCUACGGGAGGCAGCAGUGGUGAAUAUUGCACAAUGGGCGCAAGCCUGAUGCAGCCAUGCCGAGUGUAUGAAGAAGGCCUUGGGGGUGUAAAGUACGUCCAGCGAGGAGGCGGUACUCGCAGAAGAAGCACCGGCUAACUCCGUGCCAGCAGCCGCGGUAAUAC
rnacentral:rRNA from 1 species